rnacentral:lncRNA from 1 species
AACAACCAUACAGAAAGUGAUAAUCAAUUCCAAUAAACAAUGAAGAAUUUCACUAUUUUGUCCCUACUUUCUUUUGUUCUUCUGUUGAGCUUAUCAGCUCCUUCUCUUGGUAUGAAUUUGUUUUUAUUUUUUGAUAUUCAUAAUUUGUAUUUGAUUAUUUAAUGAGUUGUGUUGAACUGCGUGAUCAUCUCAUUAGAGACGUGAGCAUACUUCUAUUUAUUUAAUUAUGUCUUCAAUACACCCAUGCGGGCUUGAUUCUUUUUGAGCAAAGCACGCGGAAAUUAUUUUUGAUAUUGAGCGGCAGUGAGACUCGAACUCAGGAUCUGUGCUUGCUCUGAUAUCAUGUUGAAGUGUGUGACCAUCUCAGCUAAAAGCUUAAGCUAUUAUAGAGUGCAAACUUCUAGUUCUAUUUACUUAAUUAUGUCUUCAAUAAAUUCUCUCGUCGUGAUAUAUACCGGCUAUUUAUUCCAUAUUAAUUUGUUUGUUCUUAUAAUUGUAGGGCAACAACCAAAAUUAUGUCCAACGAGCUUCAAAGUGAAUGAUCAGUGUGCCAAUAUCAAUUGCUUUUUAGAAGCCUUAAAAAUUUAUCCAGCAAGUGAGAUGCCCCAAAAAUGCAGUUGUAGUUCACAAGGGAGUGGCAGCCUAUGCUCCUGCUCCAUAGUUUGCCAACCUCCAAACUAAAUACAAUUAUGUUAGCAAGUUUAUGAGUAUAAUGCUCAAUUAAUGAAAAUAAUUUGCAUGAACUCUUGUGAUUCGCGUGAACAGAAACUUUGCAAUUUCAAAAUUCGCC